GGAGCCGGAGGGAAACCGAGUCUUAAUUGGGCGUUAAGUUGCAGGGUAUAGACCCGAAACCCGGUGAUCUAGCCAUGGGCAGGUUGAAGGUUGGGUAACACUAACUGGAGGACCGAACCGACUAAUGUUGAAAAAUUAGCGGAUGACCUGUGGCUGGGGGUGAAAGGCCAAUCAAACCGGGAGAUAGCUGGUUCUCCCCGAAAGCUAUUUAGGUAGCGCCUCGUGAAUUCAUCUCCGGGGGUAGAGCACUGUUUCGGCUAGGGGGCCAUCCCGGCUUACCAACCCGAUGCAAACUGCGAAUACCGGAGAAUGUUAUCACGGGAGACACACGGCGGGUGCUAACGUCCGUCGUGAAGAGGGAAACAACCCAGACCGCCAGCUAAGGUCCCAAAGUCAUGGUUAAGUGGGAAACGAUGUGGGAAGGCCCAGACAGCCAGGAUGUUGGCUUAGAAGCAGCCAUCAUUUAAAGAAAGCGUAAUAGCUCACUGGUCGAGUCGGCCUGCGCGGAAGAUGUAACGGGGCUAAACCAUGCACCGAAGCUGCGGCAGCGACGCUGAUGCGUUGUUGGGUAGGGGAGCGUUCUGUAAGCCUGCGAAGGUGGCCUGUGAGGGUUGCUGGAGGUAUCAGAAGUGCGAAUGCUGACAUAAGUAACGAUAAAGCGGGUGAAAAGCCCGCUCGCCGGAAGACCAAGGGUUCCUGUCCAACGUUAAUCGGGGCAGGGUGAGUCGACCCCUAAGGCGAGGCCGAAAGGCGUAGUCGAUGGGAAACGGGUUAAUAUUCCCGUACUUGGUGUUACUGCGAAGGGGGGACGGAGAAGGCUAUGUUGGCCGGGCGACGGUUGUCCCGGUUUAAGCGUGUAGGUGUGUGUUCCAGGUAAAUCCGGUUCACUUUAACACUGAGGCGUGAUGACGAGGCACUACGGUGCUGAAGCAACAAAUGCCCUGCUUCCAGGAAAAGCCUCUAAGCAUCAGGUAACAUCAAAUCGUACCCCAAACCGACACAGGUGGUCAGGUAGAGAAUACCAAGGCGCUUGAGAGAACUCGGGUGAAGGAACUAGGCAAAAUGGUGCCGUAACUUCGGGAGAAGGCACGCUGACACGUAGGUGAAGUGAUUUACUCAUGGAGCUGAAGUCAGUCGAAGAUACCAGCUGGCUGCAACUGUUUAUUAAAAACACAGCACUGUGCAAACACGAAAGUGGACGUAUACGGUGUGACGCCUGCCCGGUGCCGGAAGGUUAAUUGAUGGGGUCAGCGCAAGCGAAGCUCCUGAUCGAAGCCCCGGUAAACGGCGGCCGUAACUAUAACGGUCCUAAGGUAGCGAAAUUCCUUGUCGGGUAAGUUCCGACCUGCACGAAUGGCGUAAUGAUGGCCAGGCUGUCUCCACCCGAGACUCAGUGAAAUUGAACUCGCUGUGAAGAUGCAGUGUACCCGCGGCAAGACGGAAAGACCCCGUGAACCUUUACUAUAGCUUGACACUGAACAUUGAGCCUUGAUGUGUAGGAUAGGUGGGAGGCUUUGAAGUGUGGACGCCAGUCUGCAUGGAGCCGGCCUUGAAAUACCACCCUUUAAUGUUUGAUGUUCUAACGUGGACCCGUGAUCCGGGUUGCGGACAGUGUCUGGUGGGUAGUUUGACUGGGGCGGUCUCCUCCUAAAGAGUAACGGAGGAGCACGAAGGUUGGCUAAUCCUGGUCGGACAUCAGGAGGUUAGUGCAAUGGCAUAAGCCAGCUUGACUGCGAGCGUGACGGCGCGAGCAGGUGCGAAAGCAGGUCAUAGUGAUCCGGUGGUUCUGAAUGGAAGGGCCAUCGCUCAACGGAUAAAAGGUACUCCGGGGAUAACAGGCUGAUACCGCCCAAGAGUUCAUAUCGACGGCGGUGUUUGGCACCUCGAUGUCGGCUCAUCACAUCCUGGGGCUGAAGUAGGUCCCAAGGGUAUGGCUGUUCGCCAUUUAAAGUGGUACGCGAGCUGGGUUUAGAACGUCGUGAGACAGUUCGGUCCCUAUCUGCCGUGGGCGCUGGAGAACUGAGGGGGGCUGCUCCUAGUACGAGAGGACCGGAGUGGACGCAUCACUGGUGUUCGGGUUGUCAUGCCAAUGGCACUGCCCGGUAGCUAAAUGCGGAAGAGAUAAGUGCUGAAAGCAUCUAAGCACGAAACUUGCCCCGAGAUGAGUUCUCCCUGAGACUUAGAGUCUCCUGAAGGAACGUUGAAGACGACGACGUUGAUAGGCCGGGUGUGUAAGCGCAGCGAUGCGUUGAGCUAACCGGUACUAAUGAACCGUGAGGCUUAACCUUACA
rnacentral:rRNA from 1 species